UAUAAGAGCGCUGCAACCUGGGCACUGGUUUGGCGCAAGACCUCCCUGAUCAAGACAUGUAAAAGGCACAAAUAAUAGCCAGUGUCCUCCACGGCCUUGCUUCAUGAGCAUGAUGAUGAUAUAUGGAAUACACAACUUAAUGAUAAGAGCCACACACUGCAGACAGGACAUGUGGAAGGACAUCAAGCGACACAGGGAAGGGACCCCCGCUCGAUGGCAAGCCGACAACUCACCCCCGUGCGUGACCACCCUGAGGCGGCCUGACGAGUCCCUCUCCUCCUCGCCUUCGCCCGGGAGACACUUGGCGCUGGCCACCGGGGUGUCGUCUGGAUAGAAACGAGAACUCAUUCCCGUUAUUGGCAAAGUCCAGCGAGUCGGUGUCGUCGGGGGUCUCGAUGUCAUCCACGUUGAUGUCCAGGUCGUCCGAGAGCAGCGAGCCCUCGCUGUGCUCCAGCGAUAGGUUCAUGUCGGGGGCGGUCAGCGUGCGACGCUUGGACUGGUCCCCGGUGGAGCCUCCCACAUUCAGACUAGUGGGGGGGUCUGAGCCACAAAGCCGCUAAGGUGAACGUUACAAGGCAUAAAAAGAAGACAAAAGCAUGUCUAUGGGUUACAUACUGGUGGUCCUGUUGUCCGUCAGGCCACAUGAGGAAUCGCCAUCUUCUGGGAGAGGCCUGAGGAGAUACGCAACUUAAUGGACACAACAUUAGGUACUUACUGUACUGCAUGCCUUGAGGAAAAGAAUGAAAGUCAUUCUGGGAGACAUCACCGUACUCAUUUGAACUCCCUAAAGGACAUUCAAGCGGUUACCUGGGGAAGUCCUCAUCCUGCCACUCGUCCUUCACCUCCAUGCUGUCCAUGCGUAAAGUGGCCUCGGCUGUCCCCAUGGCGUGUGCAGCUUGGUUGAGAAUUGGCUCGCUGAGUUUGAAAAAUACACAAAUUGGCAUGAGCUAUAUUCAGCAAUUGUUUUCAAUGUUCACAUUUUAUGACAGUCAACAAGAUUGGAUUUGAUAGUAGACUGCGUCAAUAAUGUGCAUAUAAGGGGAGGGUUUAUUGUACAGUCCAUUUGUUCACUGGUAUGAAAAUGAUGUGACACACACACACACACGGACGCACACGCACUCACAGGAAACAAAAAAACAACAGCAGCUAUAUGACUAAAAGGCCUUCUGGCAACAAAAUGCUGCCCGCCUUGCGAUCAGACUCAAAAUGGAGGUGGAGAAUUGCAUUUUGUAGCUCGUUAAAGGGAUCAGGGGCCAAAGGUUAAAAGAAACCAUUAUCGCUAACAUGGCCCGCAGCGGGAGAAUGAUGACGACAAUAUGUCAAUAGAGCAAAUGCUGAGUGACGCUCGAAGCAAAAUUCAAUAAACAGCCAUUAUAAAAAAAACAUGCAGGACUGCAAGGUAAGGUCAGUUUGGAUGCAUGUGACUUUUCAUAGUCGCCAAGGUUCAAUAAAAGGCUUUAAUGUUGAUCAAA